GGGCCCGCACAAGCGGUGGAGUAUGUGGUUUAAUUCGAUGCAACGCGAAAAACCUUACCUACUCUUGACAUACUUGGGAGCUCUUGUAAUGAGAGUGUGCCUUUUGGAACCAAGAUACAGGUGCUGCAUGGCUGUCGUCAGCUCGUGUCGUGAGAUGUUCCGUUAAGUCGGAUAACGAGCGCAACCCUUACCCUUAUUUGCCAGCGAUUCGGUCGGGAACUAUAAGGGGACUGCCGGUGAUAAACCGGAGGAAGGUGAGGACGACGUCAAGUCAUCAUGGCCCUUACGAGUAGGGCUACACACGUGCUACAAUGGGGAAUACAGACGGACGCUAAGCCGCGAGGUGGUGCUAAUCCUAGAAAGUUUCUCGUAGUCCGGAUUGGAGUCUGCAACUCGACUCCUUGAAGUUGGAGUCGCUAGUAAUCG
rnacentral:rRNA from 1 species